CUACGGGCGGCUCCAGUGAGGAAUAUUGCACAAUGGGGGGAACCCUGAUGCAGCAACGCCGCGUGGAGGAUGACGCAUUUCGGUGUGUAAACUCCUUUUAUAUGUCAAGAAAAUGACGGUAGCAUAUGAAUAAGCACCGGCUAACUCCGUGCCAGCAGCCGCGGUAAUACGGAGGGUGCAAGCGUUACUCGGAAUCACUGGGCGUAAAGGACGCGUAGGCGGGCUUGUAAGUCAGGUGUGAAAUCCUACAGCUUAACUGUAGAACUGCACUUGAAACUACGAGCCUAGAGUAUGGGAGGGGGAGAUGGAAUUAGUGGUGUAGGGGUAAAAUCCGUAGAUAUCACUAGGAAUACCUAAAGCGAAGGCGAUCUCCUGGAACAUUACUGACGCUAAGGCGUGAAAGCGUGGGGAGCAAACAGGAUUAGAUACCCUUGUAGUC
rnacentral:rRNA from 1 species